rnacentral:lncRNA from 1 species
UCCUGCUCAUCGUCGGCAGCUCAGUGACCCUUGCACACCAUCACCGACGACUCCUCGCCAAUCAAUCACUUAGACGUCAUUGAACCUAUCCUAUCUACGGCAUAAGAUGACCGACUCCUAAUCAUCGCCGACCAAUCCUCACCUUUAUAGUACUCAGAUUGACGAUUUUACUUAAAAUGUGACACCCAUCAGACAACAGCUGUUGCUAGACUGAUAAGGCAAUCGCAAGUGCCACAUCUUGAAAAUAUCGAGCGACAAUCUCGUGCCCAAUGAAUCACAUCCUGAUCAUGUGGGAUCGUGCCCACUAACUUGUCAACUGAAGCCCCAACUCUUCGCCAUAAAAGAGGACCUCCAAAGAAGGUACGUGAGAGCUCUGCCUCUCACACUCCUUUUAUUGAACGAGAUUUUGACUUAAGCAUCGAAGGAUCCCCGUAAGAGCCACCCUUCGGUUUGGACUUUUUUGCAGGUCACGCAUCCAGGAGGCCCACCUUAUCAUCAACUCUAGUGCGCCGAUGCUGAGUGAUUUCUUGCAUCAACAAGUGAUGCAUGGAUGUGAUUGGUGGGAACUAAGAAGUAAGGUUAGUUUGGCAAAAAAUAAGUAAAUAAAGACUAAGCUGGCUGAAUUUCAGAGAUUGAUUUAAGUCAGAAAGGAACGCAAGAGGAGAACAAGAAAUAGAUACAAUAUGAAUUCUAUUUUUUUUCC